UACGUAGGGGGCUAGCGUUGUCCGGAAUCAUUGGGCGUAAAGCGCGUGUAGGCGGUUCGGUAAGUCCGCUGUGAAAGUCGGGGGCUCAACCCUCGAAUGCCGGUGGAUACUGUCGAACUAGAGUGCGGAAGAGGCGAGUGGAAUUCCUGGUGUAGCGGUGAAAUGCGCAGAUAUCAGGAGGAACACCAAUUGCGAAGGCAGCUCGCUGGGACGUAACUGACGCUGAGGAGCGAAAGCCAGGGGAGCAAACGGG
rnacentral:rRNA from 1 species